rnacentral:rRNA from 1 species
GACGAACGCUGGCGGCGUGCUUAACACAUGCGAGUCGAACGGUAAGGCCCUUCGGGGUACACGAGUGGCGAACGGGUGAGUAACGCGUGAGUAACCUGCCCUUCACUCUGGGAUAACAGUUGGAAACGGCUGCUAAUACCGGAUAUUCAGCUCCUGUCGCAUGGUGGGGGUUGGAAAGUUUUGGUGGUGGAGGAUGGGCUCGCGUCCUAUCAGCUUGUUGGUGGGGUGAUGGCCUACCAAGGCGUCGACGGGUAGCCGGCCUGAGAGGGCGACCGGCCACAUUGGGACUGAGAUACGGCCCAAACUCCUACGGGAGGCAGCAGUGGGGAAUAUUGCACAAUGGGCGGAAGCCUGAUGCAGCAACGCCGCGUGCGGGAUGACGGCCUUCGGGUUGUAAACCGCUUUCAGCAGGGACGAAGCGCAAGUGACGGUACCUGCAGAAGAAGCACCGGCUAACUACGUG